CAGUCGCCCGGUAAAACGUAGGUGGCAAGCGUUGUCCGGAAUUAUUGGGCGUAAAGGGCUCGCAGGCGGUUUCUUAAGUCUGAUGUGAAAGCCCCCGGCUCAACCGGGGAGGGUCAUUGGAAACUGGGAAACUUGAGUGCAGAAGAGGAGAGUGGAAUUCCACGUGUAGCAGUGAAAUGCGUAGAGAUGUGGAGGAACACCAGUGGCGAAGGCGACUCUCUGGUCUGUAACUGACGCUGAGGAGCGAAAGCGUGGGGAGCGAACAGGAUUAGAUACCCCCGUAGUCCCUGUCUCUUAUACU
rnacentral:rRNA from 1 species